UUCUGACUUGUUAGAGAGAUUCUGAAAGCAAAGCCGGCUGGUUAGUUUGCUUUAUUGUAAAAUAUGCAGUCGAUCGUAAAGCACACGUUUCUGUUUUUGGCCGCUGUAACCUCUUGCAUCUGAAAGCAACAGAUAGCUGGCAGCUGGAGAUAUUCCUCCAGCAAGAAAUGCAAUUGUGCUCUCCAGGUUUUUAUACUUACAUUUAAGAAAAAUUUGUACUCUUUCUACCAAAAUUCUACUAUUCAACACAAAACAUCCGUCAACCGAAUGACAAAAUUAGUCCAGGUUUGAUGUAAUUUGCUGUCUCUUCAAAGCUUAAAUGUUAUCUCCGCAUCAUUAGUAUGAACAAUUUUCAUCUGUGCUAAGGAACCAAGAGGCCUGUUCUCUUAACACGUAUUAUG